rnacentral:rRNA from 1 species
UACAGAGGUCUCAAGCGUUGUUCGGAUUCAUUGGGCGUAAAGGGUGUGUAGGUGGCGCGCUAAGUCGGGUGUGAAAUGUCGGAGCUUAACUCCGAAACUGCAUUCGAUACUGGCGUGCUUGAGGACUGGAGAGGAGACUGGAAUUCAUGGUGUAGCAGUGAAAUGCGUAGAGAUCAUGAGGAAGACCAGUGGCGAAGGCGGGUCUCUGGACAGUUCCUGACACUGAGACACGAAGGCCAGGGGAGCAAACGGG